rnacentral:rRNA from 1 species
UGGGGAAUAUUGCACAAUGGGCGAAAGCCUGAUGCAGCGACGCCGCGUGAGGGAUGACGGCCUUCGGGUUGUAAACCUCUUUCAGUAGGGAAGAAGCGAAAGUGACGGUACCUGCAGAAGAAGCGCCGGCUAACUACGUGCCAGCAGCCGCGGUAAUACGUAGGGCGCAAGCGUUAUCCGGAAUUAUUGGGCGUAAAGAGCUCGUAGGCGGUUUGUCGCGUCUAUCGUGAAAGUCCGAGGCUCAACCUCGGAUCUACAAUAAAUACAAACAAACUAAAAUAAUAUAAAAAAAACUAAAAUUCCUGGUGUAGCGGUGAAAUGCGCAGAUAUCAGGAGGAACACCGAUGGCGAAGGCAGGUCUCUGGACAUUAACUGACGCUGAGGAGCGAAAGCAUGGGGAGCGAACAGG